rnacentral:rRNA from 1 species
GAUGAACGCUGGCGGCGUGCCUAAUACAUGCAAGUCGAGCGAAAAGAUAGGGAGCUUGCUCCUUUGACGUUAGCGGCGGACGGGUGAGUAACACGUGGGUAACCUACCUAUAAGACUGGGAUAACUUCGGGAAACCGGAGCUAAUACCGGAUAACAUUUGGAACCGCAUGGUUCUAAAGUGAAAGAUGGUUUUGCUAUCACUCAUAGAUGGACCCGCGCCGUAUUAGCUAGUUGGUAAGGUAACGGCUUACCAAGGCAACGAUACGUAGCCGACCUGAGAGGGUGAUCGGCCACACUGGAACUGAGACACGGUCCAGACUCCUACGGGAGGCAGCAGUAGGGAAUCUUCCGCAAUGGGCGAAAGCCUGACGGAGCAACGCCGCGUGAGUGAUGAAGGGUUUCGGCUCGUAAAACUCUGUUAUUAGGGAAGAACAAAUGUGUAAGUAACUGUGCACGUCUUGACGGUACCUAAUCAGAAAGCCACGGCUAACUACGUG